ensembl:lincRNA Gm13605 predicted gene 13605
UUACUUCCUUGCCUGCCCCGACCACCUGAAGGGUCUCCUCCAGAUCCUUCCUCUGCAAAUAUGUUGCAUCUCCGCUGAAUGCCGCGGACUUCCAUUCCCGUUGCUACGGAUAAAGGGCAAGCAUGAUCACACUCCUCCUCAACACAGGACCUAUCAGCAGUCCAUGAGAAGGCAAAUCAGGAGUCCGCUGCUCUAGCUUUCCCGACCUCCAUGCUUCUCCCGGGAGAUGGGCGUGUUGUUUAGGAACAAGACUCCAACAUUGCUCUGUUUUAUUUGUGAUCCCUGGACACCCUCCACCCCCCAAUAAAAGAACUCAAGGUCUUACCGAGGCCACAGGAAGAGCAUCAGAGAACUAGAGGCAUCCUUGCAGAAGCCAUCUUUGAUGUCCAGGUCAGUCAGACCUCCAAACCCAGCUGACACUGGACUGCAACCUCAUCAGAGAUUCAAGGCUAGAACCACCCAGUCCCAUCCCGUCCCCUCCACCCCCCCGCCCCCAGCCAACCCAUCAGGCAAAGCGGCUGCUAAACCAUAAAGUUUGGGGGAAGAUCAUUACAUAAUAAUAGGUUAACAAAAGAAGCCCCAUACUGGAGACCCAGAGUUCUAGGGUAGCUGAUUCACUUGGCAGGUGGGUCUGGUUGUUCUACCCCUUGGUUCCUGA